rnacentral:lncRNA from 13 species
CCGCAACCUCCGUAACCUCGCGUGCGCGCGCGCGCACGCGCGCACGCGACGAGCUCCAAGUCGACGUCACGUCUUUCUCGAAGCAACAAACAGUAACGCGCCGAACUGUAAACCGAAAUUAAACGGAGAGUCUUUUUACUUUUAUAUUAGCAGUUAAUGGUCGAGAUGGUAUUCUAAACUGGAAAGAGUCUACGGUCAAUCAAGUCUAGAAAAAGACGUCGUCGGAAUUCGUCGCGUCCGCUAUUGAUCGUGCCGCGUUAACCGGUAGCGAUCUCCUUGUUGAGCGGCGUAUCGUCUUCUCGAACCUCGAAGCGAUCUCAUUUUUGCUUAACUUCUCGACUCUGUCAUUCUCAGUCAUUCCGAUCAGCUGCUUCUCCCGUAUAUCUACCUGCACUCGCGACAUUGAAACGGAAAUCGAGCUGUCACUGUCGAUACCGACAUCGAGCACUAACCACAUUUAGGGGAUGUCAUGUCAUAGCCAUGAUUGAGAAAGUUGCUUUUUGGAAGUAAUUAGUUAUAAUUUUUUUCUUUCAAAAGGUAAUUACCAUUACAAAUUACUGAUUCUAAAAAGUAACGUAUUACAAUUACAGUUAUUCAAAAAGUAACUGUAACUGUAAUACGUUACUUUUCUCUUAAUUCUUUGCAAUGUUUAUGCAUUAUUGUUUCAACGCAAGAAUCUUAUAAUUCUGACACAUUACUAAAUUAUUCAAUUUACUCAGUUAAAUGUUACAUUACUGUAUAUAUAAUAAAUUAUAGUUAUUAAAAAUUUAA